GGGGAUUUAGCUCAGUGGUCUAAGCGCCUGCCUGGCAAGCACAAGGUUCAAUCCCCA
rnacentral:tRNA from 1 species